UACAGAGACUGCAAGCGUUAUUCGGAUUCACUGGGCGUAAAGGGUGCGCAGGCGGCCGUGUGUGUGAGGCGUGAAAGCCCGGGGCUUAACUCCGGAAUUGCACCUCAAACUACACGGCUAGAGCAUUGGAGAGGGUAGCAGAAUUCACGGUGUAGCAGUGAAAUGCGUAGAUAUCGUGAGGAAUACCAGAGGCGAAGGCGGCUACCUGGACAAUUGCUGACGCUCAGGCACGAAAGCGUGGGGAGCAAACAGG
rnacentral:rRNA from 1 species